ACUUUCCUUGACACGCGCACAAUUAAGAUUAGUUGUAAAAUUUUCAAUUCCCACGAUUUCCAUCGUCACAAUCUUCUCUUCGCCGACAUUUCCAUUAGCCACAAGAUUCCCCGAUUCAUCUUCCCUUCUAUCCUUGUCAUCUUCACAGCUCUUCCCGGCGGUAGACUUGUCGCUACUCGAAUCUCUGACUCUUACUGGUGUGAGGCAUUGUGGUGGUGGUGCGCGUGGUGCCUGUCGUCACUGAUCUAGAGGAUAUAUUUUACAGAUGCAAAUGACGUAUGAGAAUCAAGUUACGUAGAUGCAAAUGGCGCAUGAGAAGCAAGAGAGUGAAAUGAUUGAAAUGAGAAAGCUUAUUGUCAUGCUAAUGGAAGGGAAUGCGCAUAGGGACAAUGUGCCGAGCAUUAUUCCAAACACAACUUUCUUACUUGGGCAUAUACGUGGGUAGUGGAGCAGGUGAACACCCAAUUGCGGUCGUGACGAUGAUCAAGCGAAAGAUGACGGCGAAAGACAAAUCAGAAGGUGUCUUAAGUAACAAUAUUUAGUUGGACUUAUUUUACCAAUUUUUGGAUUACUAGUAGGUCUCAAAUAUAAGAAGGUCCUUCCUGCCUAUCCAUGUACAGACCAUUACAGAUCUGGGCUUUUGGUUGUUGGAAAGAUAUCAUAAUGGAAUGGCAUCAUGCUGUCAUAUGUACAAAGAAUAUAUUUUGUGUAUGUUGUUACAUUUCUUCUACGUUUCAUUUGUAUCAUAGUUACUCUUUUUUAUCUGAUUGAGAAACUGUGGCUGGCUUGUAGAUUAAACUGUGAUUGAUAAUGUCAUAGCCAAAUAUAUUCAAGGAUGAUUAGAUUGCAA